rnacentral:lncRNA from 10 species
GUAGGUUCGAGUAGGGACUGGAAUGCGGGCCAACAGUGUGGGGGUUAUUAGGGGGGAGGGUAGGCAGGUCGGAGGAGGGAGUUGGGAGGAAAGCGGCGGCGGUGGCGGCUUCAACAGCAGCUCUUGCCCUUAAGGAACAAUAACUGUCCAUUUGGCUAUGAGCGAAUCAUCCUGCUUGCUUUUAUAAGCAUUUAUCCUGAAAAGAAAUUUAAAGCAGACAUCCCAUAAAUGGAGUCUGGGACAGAAACCUACACAUUGGGGCUUGGUGGCAUGCAUGUUUAGUCCCAGCUACACAGCAGGGAGGCUGAGGCUGAAGGAAUACUUGAGCCCAGGAAUUCAAGACUAGCCUGCACAACAUAGUGAGACCCUGACUUUAAAAUAAAUUUAAAAAAAUUAAAAGCAACAAGACUUUCUGCUUGUAUAUGAUGAUGUUAGUAUGCUGACUUACAAGGUUAGAUCAUUUUGAUAUGUGUGAUGUAGGUUUUCAAAGCUGGCACUGUUUUAUGCUUCAAAUAUUAUUUUUAUUCAUUGGUUCUCAUGGGAUUUCAUCACUAAGCUGUAAAUCAAUAAUCAUAAUGUUGAGGGGAGGGGAUUACAAAAUAGCUCUUCAAAAUCAUCUUUGCAUUUCUCAAUAAACAGCAUUCCCUUUUGGACUACAGUGAAAAAUAUUGAGCUUUGUUUACUUUGAAAAUGAGUCUUAGUCUAUGAAUGCCUGGGUAGGGUCAAGAAUGAAAAAUGAGAGGAAGAGAGAAGCAUCAGGAAGAUAAAAUGAUCAAUCUCACAAAACUUGCUAUUUUUAGAAAGCAUCAUUCUAAUUUUGAAACCAAAAAAAUGGGGAAAAACAGAGUAAUGGAAUAAUAGAAUGCCUCAUGUACAAAAGCAACAAUUUCAGAGAUGAUCUAAAACAACUUAUUAGUUAUAGGAAGAAAUAUACCUGAAAAGGGCAAAAAUAAGUUGGGUUUGGCCUCUUGUCACUGAAAUUAUCUACUAAAUCUAACAGCAUCUAUGUUCCUUUAGCUGUUGUGUAUAUUGUACACAAAUGUGA